UGAUGUAAGCAUCAAGCGAUGUAAUAAAGCGAAAUUGUUGAGUGUAAAAUGAUAAGUGAAUCAGUUCUGUUUCGUAAGAAACUGAAGUGGAGUCAUAGUUUUCUUUAUUCCUGUUAUUGAGGAAGAGUAGAAAUGAUGAUGUGGAUGAUGAAGAUGAUGAAGAUGAUGAUGAUGAUUUCUUUAUUAACAAUUAAGGGUAUAUUUAUGUAUACCCUUUUAUGAACAACACAGGAAAAAUACAAUGCACGGUGCCAAGUGGGCCACUUUUAGUAAACAGAACUAGUGAUAAAGUCUUGUAAACAAUUAAAUCAAAAACAAUCGAAUAUAACAAAAUUCCCCAAAAGAGGGAGCCCUCCUAGGAUUACUUGUGAAAGCCCCAUGAGUCUACAACAUUCCUGAUCACCAGGAUUCGGAAUCUCCGCAGUCGAAAUAGUGGGUUCCUGUUGAAUAAUAAUAAAAAAAUAAAGAAA